rnacentral:rRNA from 1 species
GAACUGAAGAGUUUGAUCAUGGCUCAGAUUGAACGCUGGCGGCAGGCCUAACACAUGCAAGUCGAGCGGAUGACAGGAGCUUGCUCCUGAAUUCAGCGGCGGACGGGUGAGUAAUGCCUAGGAAUCUGCCUGGUAGUGGGGGACAACGUUUCGAAAGGAACGCUAAUACCGCAUACGUCCUACGGGAGAAAGCAGGGGACCUUCGGGCCUUGCGCUAUCAGAUGAGCCUAGGUCGGAUUAGCUAGUUGGUGAGGUAAUGGCUCACCAAGGCGACGAUCCGUAACUGGUCUGAGAGGAUGAUCAGUCACACUGGAACUGAGACACGGUCCAGACUCCUACGGGAGGCAGCAGUGGGGAAUAUUGGACAAUGGGCGAAAGCCUGAUCCAGCCAUGCCGCGUGUGUGAAGAAGGUCUUCGGAUUGUAAAGCACUUUAAGUUGGGAGGAAGGG